ensembl:lncRNA LOC120102333 uncharacterized LOC120102333
CGGGCCCCUGACGUCACCCGAUUCGCCAGGAAAUGAACUUUUUAAUAAUCCAAGGAGGGUGGAAAGCCCUCGGUCCCCUCGGCUCGGGGGGCGCCCAGCCAGGCGGGCUCAGCUUCUCGGGCGCGCCCCCGUCACCCCCUCCCAGGUCCUCUGCGGACAGCGCUGAGGGGGCGCGCGCACGGCAGGGCCUCCUCCGGCCUCUGCGACUGGCGUCCAUCUGUCUGUCCGAGGCUCUGGAACAGAUUAUCGCAGCCCUUUCAGAGCGCACACAACAAAUGCGCCCGCCAUCGAAUGCAGCAUUUACCACCACAGAUCCGCGCGCCGAUGGGCAGGCUGAUAGCGUCCGCGGGGGGCUCGCCGGGGCGAGUGUGCGCCCCGGCUCUGCCUGGUGUGUUUGGAGGAACACGUGGGUAUGCCAGCGAGUGGACCCAGAGCGAGCAAGGAUGUGAGUGUGCGAGUAAGUGUGCCUCGAGAAAGUUCACGUGUGCGAGACCCUGCGCACACACAUGGUGAGUGUUCGUGGCGAGUGCCAGAGAAGAGGCCGGCGAGAGGCAGGCGGGAAAGGAUGCUGCACGUGACCUCGUGGGAAGCACGCUGCUAGUGUGUGCAGUGUGCUAGCCGCGUGCACGAGACAAUUUACUGUGAGGGCCUACAAGUACCUAGCUUUCGAGGAUGCUGUUUGGGGGUGCGGAACAAAGGGGUUCGAAGCCACUCCUGAAUGGUAUGCGUAGCAUUUGCAGGCCGCACUCCAUAAGGAGUAUUUCUGAAGCUGCUGGGUGGCUGGUAGCUGACGUUUACGCCAGCAGCUCAGGCCUUUGGAACCCGCACGGAUCUGUGGACAGUGUGGACGCAGAACAACUAGAUGUACAGAACGAUGCGCGAAGCUAAGGACCAGUCUUCUCGGGCCUUGACUGAGCCUGUGUUGUGCUACUCUGGGCUGGACAUUGGCUGUGAGGAUGAGACCGCUGUACGCUCGGUCCGGGAAGUGCUGGAGAGUGACACCCGGCUAGCGGCUGUGGCGUUUGAGAGCGUCCAGGGAUCCUGGUGCUGGCUUUGGGGCCCCUCCGCCAAGGCCUUGCAGCUGGGGCAACAGAGCCCAGCCCGCCGCCCGAGGUCCGGGACGUGAGUGACACGCGCCGCCACAAAGGCUGUAUUUUUCCAGGCCCGCGCCCCGCCCGCGCGCGAUGGUCCCCAUGGCGACGCAGAUAGCGCGCGGCCAUUUUCCUAUCUCCCCGGAGUCUAUUAUACAGCGGGAUUAGCUCAUCUCCAGGCAGGUCAAACCCAAAGUCACACAACCUGCGGCGUGAGCCCCGCCUCCGGCCGCUCCUCCCCCGCCGCCAGAGCGGGCGACCCCCGCGGCUGGCUGGCCGGUGCGCGGGUUCAGAGCGCCACCUGGCGGCCGCGCGUUCUCAGGCCCGCUGCGUGAGAGGCAGCAGGUGCCCAAGGCGUUGGCUUUGUGUGGUUGCUUGGGCGACUCCAAGGGAAAGGCUGGCUGGCACACAGUAGGUGCCCCACAACCGCUGCUGGAAGGAUGGACGGGCAGGAAACUAGACAGGGACUGACUGCCAAAGGCCACCGCAUGUUGGUAACAAAAACCCAUUCUACUGAGUGAAGAAAA